rnacentral:rRNA from 1 species
CCUACUGGAGGCAGCAGUGAGGAAUAUUGGACAAUGGGCGCAAGCCUGAUCCAGCAAUACCGCGUGUGUGAAGAAGGCCUGAGGGUUGUAAAGCACUUUCAAUGGCAAUGAAUACCUACCGUCCAAUACCCGGUAGACUGACAUUACCCAUACAAGAAGCACCGGCUAACUCCGUGUCAGCUGCCGCGGUAAUACGGAGGGUGCAAGCGUUAAUCCUAAUUACUGGGCGUAAAGCGUGCGUACGCGGCUUGUUCAGUCAGAUGUGAAAGCCCCGGGCUUAACCUGGGAACUGCAUUUGAUACUGGCAGGCUAGAGUUUAGUAGAGGGGAGUGGAAUUUCAGGUGUAGCGGUGAAAUGCGUAGAGGAUCUGAAGGAACACCAGUGGCGAAGGCGGCUCCCUGGACUAAAACUGACGCUGAGGUACGAAAGCGUGGGUAGCAAACAGGAUUAGAUACCCUGGUAGUCCACGCCGUAAACGAUGUCAACUAACUGUUGGGUUCUUAAAGAACUUAGUAGUGGAGCUAACGUAUUAAGUUGACCGCCUGGGGAGUACGGCCGCAAGGCUAAAACUCAAAUGAAUUGACGGGGGCCCGCACAAGCGGUGGAUCAUGUGGUUUAAUUCGAUGCAACGCGAAGAACCUUACCUACCCUUGACAUGUAGUGAACUUUCCAGAGAUGGAUGGGUGCCUUCGGGAACACUAACACAGGUGAUGCAUGGUUGUCGUCAGCUUGUGUCGUGAGAUGUUGGGUUAAGUCCCGUACCGAGCGCAACCCUUAUCUUUAGUUGCCAGCGCGUAAUGCCGGGAACUCUAGGGAGACCGCCGGUGAUAAACCCGAGGAAGGUGGGGACGAUGUCAAGUCAUCAUGGUCCUCAUGGGUAGGGCUACACACGUGGGACAAUGCUCGGUACAGAGGGCAGCGAACUCGCGAGAGUAAGCAAAUUCCAGAAAGCCGAUCCUAGUCCGGAUUGGAGUCUGCAACUGGGUUCCAUGAAGUCGGAAUCGCUAGUAAUCGCAAAUCAGAAUGUUGCGGUGAAUACGUUCCCGGGCCUUGUACACUCCGCCCGU